rnacentral:rRNA from 1 species
UACAGAGGUGGCAAGCGUUGUUCGGAAUUACUGGGCGUAAAGGGCGCGUAGGCGGCCAUCUAAGUCAGACGUGAAAUCCCCCGGCUUAACCUGGGAACUGCGUCUGAUACUGGACGGCUAGAGUUUGGGAGAGGGAUGUGGAAUUCCAGGUGUAGCGGUGAAAUGCGUAGAUAUCUGGAGGAACACCGGUGGCGAAGGCGGCAUCCUGGACCAACACUGACGCUGAGGCGCGAAAGCUAGGGGAGCAAACGGG